rnacentral:rRNA from 1 species
UACGUGAGGGGCUAGCGUUGUCCGGAAUCAUUGGGCGUAAAGCGCGUGUAGGCGGUUCGGUAAGUCCGCUGUGAAAGUCGGGGGCUCAACCCUCGAAAGCCGGUGGAUACUGUCGGACUAGAGUGCGGAAGAGGCGAGUGGAAUUCCUGGUGUAGCGGUGAAAUGCGCAGAUAUCAGGAGGAAUACCGGUGGCGAAGGCGGCAUCCUGGACCGACAUUGACGCUGAACGGCGAAAGCUAGGGGAGCAAACGGG